AUUGCUUCUCAGACUUUUGGUUAAAAUCAAGUAAAUUAUCUGUUCUUACCAGCUUAAUAUCUGAUGAUGUCCUCUAUCUGAGGACGUUAUACUGAAUGGACUUUUAGAGCUGGGAUGUGGAACAGGAGUUUGCUCAGUCCACUCCAUACUUUGAUCCAAUAUUGCAGUACUUCUGGGAAAGGUGCAGCAGGA